rnacentral:rRNA from 1 species
GAUCUGGUUGGGUGGUCCGCCUAACGGUGUGUUUACUGCCUGACCGGGUCUUGCCUCUUGGUGAACCAUUGUGUUCUUAAUUGAGCGCUUUGGGGAACCAGGACUUUUACCUUGAGAAAAUUAGAGUGUUCAAAGCAGGCAUAUGCCUGAAUACAUUAGCAUGGAAUAAUAGAAUAGGACGUGUGGUUCUAUUUUGUUGGUUUUUAGAGCUGCCGUA